rnacentral:hammerhead_ribozyme from 1 species
AUCCAGCUGACUAGUCUCAAAUAGGACGAUAUGCAUGUCCUGGAU